rnacentral:rRNA from 1 species
UAGGGAAUCUUCCGCAAUGGACGCAAGUCUGACGGAGCAACGCCGCGUGAGUGAAGAAGGAUUUCGGUUCGUAAAACUCUGUUGUUAGAGAAGAACAGCGCAUAGAGUAACUGUUAUGCGUGUGACGGUAUCUAACCAGAAAGCCACGGCUAACUACGUGCCAGCAGCCGCGGUAAUACGUAGGUGGCAAGCGUUGUCCGGAGUUAUUGGGCGUAAAGCGAGCGCAGGCGGUUAGAUAAGUCUGAAGUUAAAGGCAGUGGCUCAACCAUUGUAGGCUUUGGAAACUGAUUAACUUGGGUGCAGAAGGGGAGAGUGGAAUUCCAUGUGUAGCGGUGAAAUGCGUAGAUAUAUGGAAGAACACCAGUGGCGAAGGCGACUCUCUGGUCUGUAACUGACGCUGAGGCUCGAAAGCGUGGGUAGCAAACAGG